UACGGAGGGUGCAAGCGUUAUCCGGAUUUACUGGGUUUAAAGGGUGUGUAGGCGGGCUAUUAAGUCAGUGGUGAAAUCUCCGGGCUCAACCCGGAAACUGCCAUUGAUACUAUUAGUCUUGAAUUUUUGUUGAGGUAGGCGGAAUAAGUCAUGUAGCGGUGAAAUGCAUAGAUAUGACUUAGAACACCAAUUGCGAAGGCAGCUUACUAAGCAAACAUUGACGCUGAGGCACGAAAGCGUGGGGGAUCAAACAGG
rnacentral:rRNA from 1 species